rnacentral:lncRNA from 1 species
GAGAAAAGUAUAAGCAUAAAACAUAAUUUUCAAGGGUAGGAGUCCAUAUUCUUUUACUCAGCAAUAAUGAUGAUGAUUUGAUGAUAUAGACCUGAGCCACAAGUCUUAGAACAACAACAAUAACAGUAGAAGAGCACUUAAAAUAUAGAGGUGUUAUAUAGCUCUCCGUUGUAAGCUGAACACGCCCAAACAUGACAUCAGCCUUGGGCUGCUUAUUUAGUGCAUGGAUUGAUACAAAGUGAAGGUAAUAUAUGUUCGACCACAGAGCGGUCAAUGGCCCCUGAUACUAGUAUAGAUAAGGUUUUUGUGGCAAUUAUGGUGUGGGAGGACGACCACGGCAUCCGUAGAUCCUUUUGCAGGGAAGUCGAUGCACUGGUGGAGGGGGAGGCACUGGUGGAGGGGGACGGCAUCUGUAGAUCCCUCUGCAGGGACGUGGAUACACCACUGGUGGAGAGGGAAGGCAUCGGCCGUAAGGCUUGCCCUUGCCCACUACACAUGGUUGCCUACUCGGCGCUAACGCACCACGAGAAAUAUGCCCAGCAUCCGCAGGCUUCUGGCCAUCAACUUCUGCACAAACCAAUUGUCAAUUAUUAUUUGCAUUAACUUAGAGGGAAAGAUGUAUUUAAUUUUCUUUUUAAGAUAAAAGAUCGAAAUUUAUAACGUUCCAACAGCAUUCACCAAGAUCUACAUUUGCCAUUCAUUUUUUUAAAAGGAAAAAUAAUUGAAGGAAGUUUCUUACCUCCAUUCUAAACUAGUUUUACUAGAUUAUACUAGGUUAUGAAGGAGACAAAGUAAGUUAAAUUCCCAUUCAACUAUUUUAACAUAGCAGUAUGAUGUGUUACAGAUAGUGAUGUCAAACCAAUUGAGUGAGCAGGUCAAACUCAGAUCAAGCUUCAGCUUGAGAAAAACUCAAAUUGUAGAUAAAUAAAUUAAAUUUGAAUCAAUAAAACAAGCUUUUAUUGUGUACGUGAGUGCGUUUGUAUAGAUAGGUACACAGAUAGAUAGAUAAUGGAUUUUUGAAUUAGGACUUUGAUUAAUAUAAUUCUUUUAAUCAAUUAAAUAUUAAUUUAGACUUGAGUCAAGCUUAAAAUCAAGCUAUAAUUCAAACUCAAUUUAAGAUUAUUGAGCUGAUCAAGUACACCCGUCUUCGAGUUGGUUCGAAAUUAAGCUUGAAAUAUUGAUAAGAAAAAUCGAACUUGAUCUUCGAGUUUCUAGCUUAAAAUUAGUUUCAAAUUAAGCUUAAUCAGGCCCAAGCUUAAUCAGACCCAAGCUUGAUUAAGCUUAGCUCUCUUAGACCCCUAGCCCUUGAUGGCAGCAUGUGGGCAACCAGUCUAAUUCAUGUCAGGCCUCUUCCACUUUCAGAUGGAAGGCAUCUAUUUUGUGCAUAAAAAAUUCUAAUACAUGCCUGAUAAUACCACUUGUGGUAACUCAAUAUUAAACCACCCCUACCUAUCACAUUAAUUUUCAAAGAGUAAACUUGUCCCUUCAUAUCAUGCAGCCAGAGAACAUUAUGUGCCUACAGAUGUCCCUAUCUUUAUUGCUUCAAAUAUGAGAUAAAUUUCUUGUAAUAAAGUGGGAAAGCUGGAAAAAAAAAAGAGAACAAAAAAGAAUGGUUUGGCUCUAACUUAUGUUUUACUCCAUAUUCUAGCUACAACUUAUGCGAUAUUAAUUAAAAGAAAGCAAUAUAUUUUUCAUAAAAGAAGUAAAUUGGGAGAUUAAAAA